ensembl:lncRNA
GCGCACUGGUGAUCAUACUGCAUCUCCUCCAGAAUCAAUGAAGGCAUUUCUUCUUUCACUUCAGGUUCAGCAGCGCUGCCUAGCAACAUGGCCUUCGUAGCGAGUGGACGAGCCAAGGGGCCAGCUGGUGCUCGGCAUCUUACUUCCUGUCUUUCCACCAAUCACAGGACUGCAGCUGAGGGGAAGAACAUGAGCAUAUUCAGGAGAACAGCAGUGCAGCGAGACUCUCUGAGAGGGAGGCCUGGAGGCUCCUUCUGCCCUCUAACGGCCCGGGAACAGAGGAGGAGGGAGAGAGAGAGGAGAGAAGAGGAACAGCAGAGGAGGAUGAGGGGAGAGCGAGCUGAGAGACACCUCCUGAGACCUCGCCAGCUCUCCCUACAGGUUGCAAUGGUAACUGGACUCUCCGAACAAAGAACUUCCUGUGUCCGGUCAGUUCCUACCUUAAAGCCUGGCACCGGGGCAGGCAGCAGACGCUCCCCCAGGCCCUGCACAAGGCCGAGCAAUACCUGUAAACCAAGACCCCAGGAAAGCAACAACCAACACAUCUCCCGGCAUAGCAAACACCAGCUGCCUCGCAAUCAGCACCUUCCUCUCCACCACCCAACCGUCUCAAAGUACUAUAGCAACGCCAAGACCUUCGGUAGUGUCCAGAACUCAGGAAGACAUUCAAGCAGGACUCCAGCCCAAAUAACAUUGACUAAUGGCACAGUCAUCAGGUCGCUAAGGGAGAGCCCUGGGGUCCUGAGGUUGUCCAGGAGAAAGAGAGGCCUCCCACCAGACACCAGCCCUCCCCCUCCGAAGCGGAUUCCUUCGGGCAGCAACGCAUCAAAGAAGUGCAGGACAGUGCAAUACAAUGAUGGUGAUGUCCCAUCGGAGAGUGACUGCCAUAUUGGUGAGAUCCCACAGAGGGAGGCCAACUGUAACGAAGAGGUUAGAGUGGAGGACGUGAGUCAUAUUGGUGAUAUCGCUGGCAGCCAUGAUGAAGAACUUAAACAAGAAGGCAGCUGUGACCACGUUGGAGAGAUGAGACUGGAGAGGGACAGUUGUAUUAGUGAAGACCUACAGGACAAGGGCAAUGUUGGAAAGUUAAGUUUGAGCAGUGUCUCUGCUCUGGAGCCCUCUCAGGAAGGGGUCAACUUCACCAACAUCAUCACCGACUAUGACCUGAGCCCUGUAACUGAGGUCAUAUGCAGACAUGUGAGAGACAAAAGGCUGCAGAGAAAUCAGCCCGCGUCAUCCACAGUCCCUACGCUACUAACCAGGACUACUGAAUCUAGGACUGUUGCCAGAGCUGCUGCUGCUGCUGCUGCUGCUGCUGCUAGGACUACUGCAACUAAAGCUGCUAUCAACUCAGUGACAUCCAAACACAUACACACUGACCCACCAGCAAGUUAUUCUGCCAAGCACACUGCUAAGGGUACUAACAAAGCUACUAGUAAGGACAUUACCAAGUGUACUUCACCAGCCAGCAGGUACUCUAUCCAUAAUUCCAAAGGUGCUGCAAAGGACACUUCCAAGGGUACCAGAGAGGACUCGACAAAGGACUGCGCACCUGUCAGUAGCUAUUCUAGCACUUCCAGGGGCUCUACAAAGAGCCUUACCCAGACCAAGUGUACUACCUCAGCCAUUAAGACCAGGACCAGCCCUAGAACCCUUCAGAAGCGCCGACAAACCUGAGCUACAUCUGGAAACGUUGACAGAUCCACUGUUUGCUAUAUUGAGAAUUGAUGUUGAAGACAAUUAGCCAAGUAUUCAGAACAACAUUGGAUACUGUUGAUCAUAAGUGUCGCAUGAUGAUGGUUGUUGGCUGGUUGGAUAGUGACGUAGUGACUGUGUACUGUUCUCUACAUGUGUCAAUGAUUGUGGGAACAUUUUAAUUCUAAAGGUCAAAUAAAUAAUUGGAAGACAGCAUAAUGGCAGACACGCUGUAUACUGGACUGUAUAGUGAAAGGCCACUGUUUUCAGAAGUUUCACUGCUGAAUCCGAAAUUGCAGCUUGGUAUCGUAUUCAUAUGGAAAAGGCACUGGUUUUAUUAAAGCACAUAGUUUAAUUUGAAUCGGUCUGUACAGUUUUCAGCAGCUUAACUAAGCCGUUUUAACAUAUUAGUUUCCCUUUCACACAUGUUACACACAACAGGAGAGUUUUCACUUCCUGGAAAUCCUCAGUUUGGUUUAGACGAGGGGUGGCGCCUGGCUAGAGCACACAGGAAGCAGGACAUGAUGCAGAUUACACCGUGGUCACAGAGCCGGUUCAUAAUUUGGUCAUAAACAACCGAGUCUCUUGCCUUUCCUUGAAUCUGUCUGACCGUCACCCAUUGGGAUGUGGAAUUUGAAGCCUUGAGUUUGAUGAUACCAAAAUUGACCAUAUUUGGACAAGAAGGCGGAGCUUGGGACGAUGACAUGGUUAAACGCUAAAGAGGAAAAGUCGCCGAUUUUCAACCGGCUGACGCGAAAUCAUCCAGAGGAGUUUAUUUUCUUUUAUUUUGAUGCUGCCGUUUAAACAGGGACCUCCGGGUACUGACACCAUUCAUCUGCAUGAAAGGCAGUACACAGUAGAGCCCUGCGCGGGACUGUUUUCUUCAUCCCGCUCCCGGCGAAUUUCUGACCAUUACCGCCCGCACCCGCAACAUGUGUGUUACACUCCCGCCCGCUCCCGCAAUGUGUACGUCCACUCCCGCCCGCACCCGCAAAACUCUGAGAAUUUAUGCCCGCACAAUAAUAGAGAUGCAUUGACGUUAUGUCUUCUCCCGUCCCGCAUGAGAAAACACGUCAUUUUAUAGGUUAAUAGGGAGAAGAUGAAGGCAAAGAAGGCAGGUGCUUGCUGCUGUUAGACGGGGAGGAAGGAGCAGAAGGAUAGGGAGAGAGGGGGAGGAAGGGGCCGAUGAUGAGGGAGAGAGGAGAGGGAGAGAGGGG